rnacentral:lncRNA from 1 species
AUUUUAUGCCAUACUUCUAUGUACUCGGCAUACUUGUAAUAUUUGUACGAAAAAUCAGGAUUAUGUAAUUUUUUUCCUUGAGCAAGAUUGCAACCCCACUCAUCAUAAGAAAGCAAUUCUUGAUCUGUAUUUUUGAAUAUGCAAUUACUCUGGUAUUUUGCUGGUAGUAAUGGACAACAUAGAUGGACCCUGUUUCCAGAAGAAUGACUUCAUAAUACUCACGAGUUUUGAUUCCAUUGGUUGGAUUCAAAUGAUUUAUAAGAUAUAAUGAAGUAAGUUUGAUAGGGUCCAUACUAGUAUGGUGGUCAUCUAUUGUAAUAUCCAUAAGAUAUGCUCGUUGAAUAUAUGUAGAGCGCGGAACAUUAAGCCUUUGGUUUGGUAUUGAUUGAGCUGGAGUAUAGGCGGGAGUAGAUGUAUUCGUGUCUGGAUAAGUGAUUUGGUGAACAG